rnacentral:sRNA from 1 species
UAACUAAAACCUAAUAAGCAAGGUGGCGGCGAAACUCCCUUACGGAAGGGGGUGAUGCUUUGACGAUAUAUGAAUCAUUAAGCUUAGUGGCAUUAUUUGGACAAGUUCUCAUUGCGCUACUAGUGUUAAUUGUAUCAAUUGUCGUCUUUAUAAAUAAAAAGAAAUAGCCACCCUGCCGGCAAGUAAGGUGGCUAUUUCUAUAUUAAGAAAGGUUUGACACCGCUUCUAUUGCAAAUUUUAGUUACAUUGACUGAGCGUAGCUGCGUUCAGU